GUUUUCGCGUUGCAUCGAAUUAAACCACAUGCUCCACCGCUUGUGCGGGUCCCCGUCAAUUCCUUUGAGUUUUAAUCUUGCGACCGUAGUCCCCAGGCGGAAUGUUUAACGCGUUAGCUGUAAUACAGAAAGUAAACUUCCCAUAUUUAACAUUCAUCGUUUACAGCGUGGACUACCAGGGUAUCUAAUCCUGUUUGCUCCCCACGCCUUCGCGCUUCAGCGUCAGAUUUGAACCAGAUAGACGCCUUCGCCACUGGUGUUCCUCCUAAUAUUUACGAAUUUUACCUCUACAUCAGGAAUUCCUCUAUCCUCUUUCAAUCUCUAGAUUAAUAGUUUUAAAAGCAAUUCCAAGGUUAAGCCUCGGGAUUUCACUUUUAACUUAUUAACCAGCCUACGCGCCCUUUACGCCCAAUAAUUCCGAAUAACGCUAGCCCUCUCCGUAUUACCGCGGCUGCUGGCACGGAGUUAGCCAGGACUUCUUCUGUGAGUACCGUCAUUAUCUUCCUCACUAAAAGAGCUUUACAACCCAAAGGCCUUCUUCACUCAUGCGGCAUGGCUGGAUCAGGCUUUCGCCCAUUGUCCAAUAUUCCCCACUGCUGCCUCCCGUAAGAGUCUGGACCAGUAUCUCAGUUCCAAUGUGGCUGAUCAUCCUCUCAGAUCAGCUAUAGAUCAUUGCCUUGGUAGGCUAUUACUCCACCAACUAGCUAAUCUAAUAUAGGCUCAUCUAAUAGCAAUAAAUUUUUCCCCCGUAGGGCGUAUACGGUAUUAGUUGCCGUUUCCAACAAUUAUUCCGUACUACUAGGUAGAUUCCUAUACAUACUCA
rnacentral:rRNA from 1 species